CAUGGCUGGAGGCUUUGCUCUCGGAUCUCUGAAAGAACACCACCACCACCAUCAUCAUCAUCAUCAUGGGAGGGAUGAAAGUACACUGACAAUGUUGGACUAUACCCACAGCUCUGCCCAGAAACCGUGGAGCCGCGCGGCCUGCCCAGUGAUACGCGGAAACAAACAAGGUCCAAGCAAGCAAGGACAAACCAGACGACCUAUGGGGAUGAAGAGCGGAUGAAGCUGGUCUGAAUUCAGCGCGUCGUUUCCGAGGGACACUCUGAACCUCUUGCUGCAGUCUGCAGGGAGUGAGCGGAACCAAAGGUUCCCACAUGAUCGGGAUGAGAUGAGUCCAGAAAGCAGGAAUGUGCGGUGAGAUGAGCAGAGAGGUAAGGGGCUUGCUCACCUUUGUG